rnacentral:rRNA from 1 species
AAUAGAUACCCUGGUAGUCCACGCCGUAAACGAUGGAUACUAGCUGUUUGAGCGCAAGUUUGAGUGGCUAAGCGAAAGUGAUAAGUAUCCCACCUGGGGAGUACGGGCGCAAGCCUGAAACUCAAAGGAAUUGACGGGGGCCCGCACAAGCGGUGGAGCAUGUGGUUUAAUUCGAUGAUACGCGAGGAACCUUACCAGGGCUUAAAUGUAGAUUGACGUAUUUGGAAACAGAUAUUUCUUCGGACAAUUUACAAGGUGCUGCAUGGUUGUCGUCAGCUCGUGCCGUGAGGUGUCAGGUUAAGUCCUAUAACGAGCGCAACCCCUGUUGUUAGUUGCCAGCGAGUAAUGUCGGGAACUCUAGCAAGACUGCCAGUGUAAACUGUGAGGAAGUGGGGAUGACGUCGAAAUCAUCACGGCCCUUACGUCCUGGGCCACACACGUGCUACAAUGGCCGGUACAGAGAGCAGCCACUUAGCGAUAAGGAGCGAAUCUAUAAAGCCGGUCACAGUUCGGAUCGGAGU